rnacentral:tRNA from 4 species
AAAAUCCGUCGAAUUUUAAAA